AUGGACUUCCCUUUGCCGGCUCUGCUUGCAAUAGAGGAUUAUGAUGAAAAUGAGGGUAAACUAGCUGCAUCGAUUCGAUGGUUAAUUUCACGGGUUUACGAAGAAAAACGAGAUAUGCCGGAUAAAUUAAGGGACGGAGUGCAGAGGGAUGAAAAUGGACACUUUCAAAUUGACGAAGCCGUCGUCGGAGCCCUGUGCAAUGGUUCGUUGUACGCACAAGCUGCUGCUAAGAUAUUCAAGGAGUCAGCGCUAGUUACUAAAGGCCAUGGAGCAGUUCUCGCGGUGCUGACCGAUUAUGGAAUCGAUGUAUUGCACGACGGAAAUGAAUUGGUGGAGGAGGCGCAGCUGGUUGCUUCGGCUCCUUUUAAUAUGUCUGCACACCUUGCAAUAAUUGAUGCUCUUAUGAUGGCACACCUUCGAGAUGUUAUCCCAGUCAGUCGGGUGGUUGAAGCAGUAAGCCGUCACACAGCUGUGGAGCCCAGCGAAAAGCCCAUCGACAGUGUGGAUGCUCUACUUUUCUGGAUAAAUAAAAUAUGUCUUCUAGUUAGAGACGAUGUAGAACGGGAGGAUUCGAACACGAAUAUUCCGGAAAUGGAGGAUUUGUACGAGGAUAUUUCAGAUGGGCAGUGUUUGUGUGCUCUAUUGCAUUGGUACAGACCGCAUGAAAUGCCUGUAGCUGAUAUUUCGUUCAACGAUUCAGCGACCACAAGAGACUGCCAAUAUAACUUAAUGUUGUUACAACUAUUCUGCCGACACCACCUCGCAGUUGACCCAUUCCACUUCGAGAUCGAAGAUCUGCUGUACCUGCGUGACUCACUACAAAUGAAUGUGAACGCCUUCCUUGCUGACCUAUUCGUUCAAUUCGAACCGCCAGUUACACCAGAACCAGUUGAAACACCACGCAUCGGACCUUCUCCUCGACGCUUCGUGCCGGCAUCUGCAAUUCCUGACCUUAGAGCUGCAAAUGCGGCGGCGAGAAGUUCAAUGCACAAUAGGAAUCGACCAAGAAUGUAUAAUCCACCUCCAGCUGUUUCACAUUCUCAAGGCCCGUCGAGAUCAGUGAGCAGAAUGAGCCAGGACAGUUUAUUUUAUUCUCGUCCAGCAUCGAUUGCACUACAGAGGAGGAGCAUGGAUCAAGAUUCUGUGACCGAUUUUCAAACCAUUCGGCAGGGUUUUGAAAACCAAGCUGGAACGGCUCAACUAAAUCGAUAUGAUGGCAGUGUGACUGCAUCUGUUCGGCUGGCCAUGGAGGAAAAACGGAGAAAGCAUGAUCAACAGAUGGCUCAGAUGAGCUCUGCGAACGAGACGGAGCGACUCGAAAAAAGCAAGGCCGCAUUUUUUGCACUCCGAAAAAACGACAACGACCAAACGAGCAAAGAAUGCCGAUGCAACAGCAGCCACCACAACAGCCACCACAACAAAUGCUUCCUCCCAAUCAAAACGCCUUCCAUCUUCAUUCAAAGAGUGAUGAUGCGACUCAAGUGCAAGCUGACCCACCAUUGGAAAUCAAUAGAAAUCUGACAAACUGGGGAAUGACUUACAAACAAGAAAUGCCAGCAAGGUCGAUACCAUCGAGGAGGACGUGGCAAAAUGAAACGUUUAUAAAGAAUGAGUUGGACUUAGUGAAUAGCAAAGAGUCGGUGCCACAUAUCACAGAUGAGACAACAACACAACCUGAAGAGGCUGCAAGACGCUUCCCAGAUUUGAUGCUUGACAAUCAUUCGGAAAAUCUUGCUCCAGGCCGAGGCUUCAGCCGUCAAAAUGACCGUGAUGAUCUUUCUACUGGUAGAAAAUCAGACGACAGUCCUACUGACACGCCUGGUCGCACUUUUGAUGACGAUGAGGGCUCUGGUGAAAACAUGGAGAAAAUCGCAAAUGAACGUCGUAUUGCUAAAAAAGCAGCUCUCAUCGCAAAAACUAUGAAAAGAAAAGAAGAAAUCGAGACAAAAGUUGACCUGGCAGAACAAAGAAACGCAGAGAGGCGACAAGUUGAGAAUGAGAAGAAGGAGUUGGCAUUGAGAAAGAAGGUUGAAAAAGAACAACAACGACAAAAAAUUCUUGAUGAAUACAAGAGGAAAAAGCUGGAGAAGGAGCUCGGUGCUGAGCUCUCAGCUAGGUCAACCGGAAGAGGACAUUCUCAACCACCGUUCAUCAGGACAAAGUCUCAAAUGAGUGAAGUAACAGAGUCUUCAAGGCAGAAUACUCCUAGAAUGAGAGGCCAGUCAUCUGUUGAGCAAAGGGUAUCGGUGAGCAGUUUGGCGGAACCAACACACAAGUUAUACGCCAAAACAGUGACCAAAUCCAACCGUGGAUUAAUCAAUAACGCUCUUCAAUUCAGUGUGUUCCCUGGAGCAGUUAAUAAUGCAACAAGGCAGGCGACAAUAACACAAAUGGCGUCAUCUAGCUCGAAGCAUUUUCUGAUUCUUUUCCGAGACCAAAAGUGUCAGUACAGAGGACUGUACACUUGGGACGAGAUUUCCGACACAGCCGUUAAAAUUUCGGGACAAGGACCGCCAAAAUGCACUGAGGCAAUGAUGAAUUCAAUGUUUAAAUACGAUUCCGGAGCGAAAAACUUCACGAACAUUGCCACAAAGCACUUGUCUGCCACAAUUGACGGAUUUGCAAUUUUGGAUCAAUACUGGCAAAAAGCUCGAAUUCCACACUCGGGAACUCCGGCUCAUAAGAAUAACUAA
rnacentral:misc_RNA from 1 species